GAAAUUUGGGAAGUGGGUUGUUAUCUUUGGUUAUCUAGCUGUAUGAGUGUUCUGCUCGUCAUAAAGCUAGAUAACCGAAAGUAAAAACUACUUCCAGACUCUUC
ensembl:miRNA mir9a-4 microRNA mir-9a-4